rnacentral:rRNA from 1 species
ACGAACGCUGGCGGCGUGCUUAACACAUGCAAGUCGAGCGGUAAGGCCCUUUCGGGGGUACACGAGCGGCGAACGGGUGAGUAACACGUGGGUGACCUGCCCUUAGCUCUGGGAUAAGCCUGGGAAACUGGGUCUAAUACCGGAUAUGACUCCAUGACGCAUGUUGUGGGGUGGAAAGCCUUGUGCGGCUAGGGGAUGGGCCCGCGGCCUAUCAGCUUGUUGGUGGGGUGAUGGCCUACCAAGGCGACGACGGGUAGCCGGCCUGAGAGGGCGACCGGCCACACUGGGACUGAGACACGGCCCAGACUCCUACGGGAGGCAGCAGUGGGGAAUCUUGCGCAAUGGGCGAAAGCCUGACGCAGCGACGCCGCGU